rnacentral:tRNA from 1 species
GGGGUAUUAGCUCAGUUGGUUUAGAGCACUUGCUUGACAGGCAAGGGGUCACUGGUUCAAAUCCAGUAUGUCCCACAA